GUGUCCUUAUAAAAGGGGAAAUGUGGACACACAGACGUGAAGAUGAAGACAGAGAUCCUCAAGCCAGCAAGGGCCAAAGAUCGCCAACGGGCCACCAGAAGCUAGCGGGGAGCUCUGGAACGUCUCCCUCACAGAUUCAGAAGGAACAAACCCUGCCUGGACCUCCGGCCUCCGGAGCUGUGAGACGAUAGACGCCUACGGACUAAGCCCCCAUCUAAGCCCAUCUGUGGCGCUUUGUCACGGAGGCCUCGGGUAACUAACACACCCCGCUUCUAAUCUGGUGCCCGGGCCUCCCGUUGGAUGACUCUACCUGGGACCCGGCUCGCGAGGGAGGCUGGGACCUGGGACAGGUAGCUGAGGCUUCCAGACCCGGAAGCACAGAGAGAAUAGAGAAGACGGAGAGCAGGAGACAACUAUCGGGUCCCCGUCCCCAGGUGCCGCCUGUCCAUCUACCCCUGCGGAGGACACCAGCGCUCUGAUGGGCACCCUCUGUCGUGGCUCCUGGGUUCCCUCAACAUGCCUUCCGCGACGGCUGUUGAGAAGUCAGCUGCGAACCUGGUUGCUGUCGUUCGAGGGCAUCCGCCUUGUGAUACCAGCUGCUUCCACAAUCUUCUCGCUGUCUUCGGUGUUCCGCGCUUUCGCCGCGACGUACCCGGGUGUGGAUUUCUGCUCGUCCGCCCUUGCCUUUUUAUUUCCCUUUUAUAUUAUUCACGUACUGCAUUCUAGCUACCUUCUUUUCAUGUGUCUUUUAGGGCAGAAAAGCAUCCCAAGCUGGGUCUCCCCGCUUUACUCUUGCACAUAUCAAUAGAGGUCAACUUAUAAAUCAAGCUGUUACAAGCGA